GACGAGCCACACAAACGUUAUUCGGAAUUACUGGGCUUAAAGGGUGCGUAGGCGGUGCGGAAAGUUGGGUGCGAAAUCCCUCGGCUCAACCGAGGAACUGCGCCCAAAACUACCGUACUCGAGGAGGAUAGAGGUGAGCGGAACUUACGGUGGAGCGGUGAAAUGCGUUGAUAUCGUAAGGAACACCCGUGGCGAAAGCGGCUCACUGGGUCUUUUCUGACGCUGAUGCACGAAAGCUAGGGGAGCAAACGGG
rnacentral:rRNA from 1 species